GACGAACGCUGGCGGCGUGCCUAACACAUGCAAGUCGAACGAACAGACCAUGAGUUUGUUGCGUGCACGUGAGCCGAGGACGUGUGAGUAACACGAGUAUACCCCACCUGUAUUUGUGGUAUAACUUCGGAACUCCGGCUCUUACACGGGAUAAUAUAUUGAACCGUGUUGGUGGAUGGAGAGUGUCGGCGGUUGUGGAUGGACUAGAGGGUUCUCAGCUUGUUUGUGGGGUAGUGGAUGACCAAGGCUACGACGGGUAGCCGGCCUGAGAGGGUGACCGGCCACAUUGGGACUGCGGUACGGCGCAGACUCGUACGGGAGGCAGCGGUGGAGAACAUUGCACAAUGAGCCGACGUCUGAUGCAACGGCGCCGCGUGCGUGAUGACCUCCUUCUAGGUGUAAACCACUGUCUCCGGUGACGAAGCGUGAUUGACGGUAAUUGGUAAAGAAGCACCGGCUAACUACGUG
rnacentral:rRNA from 1 species